GUGAAUCAUCAAAUUUUUGAACGCAAAUUGCACUCGCUGGUAUUCCGGAGAGUAUGCCUGUUUGAGGGUCAGUUUAAAUAAAAAUCGGUGUGGUUGCUGCCUUCCGUGGUGACGCACCGGAUUUGGGUCGUCUUGCCUUCGGUGAAGUGACCUAAAAGUUUGCAUGAUUUUUUUCGAACGUAUUUAAAUGAUUUCAGCAACGUUGUGAAAACCGAAUAUUAG
rnacentral:misc_RNA from 1 species